rnacentral:lncRNA from 1 species
ACAUUUUGCCAUAUUAGAAUUAGAGAUAUAUCUGUCCACUUUAAAAGUGGCAUAAGUCACUUGCUGUGUGAUGUUUUAGUUUAAAGUAAACCACAACUAAGAAAACUUCCUUCACAUGCCAGAAGUCAGACUUCUGUUUCAUCAGGGAAUUAUCUAAGCAUCUUUCACUACCAAGGUGUUCAGUAAAUGAACAGUGCAAGUGAUGCUUUUUUCAUGUUUUCUCUCUUAUCCUUGCUGCUCUGGGAAAGUUAUUUACUUAUAUAAGUGGUUUUGAAUGGACUUGUGUUUUUUUGUUUGUUUGGUUGGUUUUUGUUUUGUUUUGUUUUGUUUUGUUUUGUUUUGUUUUGCUUUGUUUUGUUUUUAACUGCCUUUCUGAAUUUGCAAUUAGCUGAUUUAUUCUUUCUUUCUAGUUGCAGAAGGGGAGGAUGUUAAUUUAAUCAUUUCUCAUUCACCUUUGGAUGUCUGGCUCAGCCUAAAAUAUCUUCAAUUAUGCAUGGUUUGUCAAAGGAUUUCUGUCAUCACUGAGUGAAGAAAGCUUGUCUAUGAAAGGUCAGCUCACUGGUCCAACUCCCAGACUGGUUUGGUCCUCUUCUUGGCGGCAUGGAGUGGUGGCCUGCAGAUGUCUAAGAAACACUCUUAAACUCAACAGCAUUGAAAGGUUUCUACAAACCUGUAACCAGAUGUGCACGGAAGGAUGA